rnacentral:snRNA from 1 species
GUGCUCGCUUCAGCAGCACAUAUACUAAAAUUGGAACCAUACAGAGAAGAUUAGCAUGGCCCCUGUGCAAGGACGACAUGCAAAUUUGUGAAGCAUUCCAUAUUUUU